UACGUAGGGGGGCAAGCGUUGUCCGGAUUUAUUGGGCGUAAAGAGCGUGUAGGCGGCCAUACAGGUCCGUUGUGAAAACUGGAGGCUUAACCUCCAGACGUCGAUGGAAACCGUAUGGCUAGAGUCCGGAAGAGGAGAGUGGAAUUCCUGGUGUAGCGGUGAAAUGCGCAGAUAUCAGGAAGAACACCCGUGGCGAAGGCGGCUCUCUGGGCCUGUUCUGACGCUGAGGCGCGAAAGCUAGGGGAGCGAACAGG
rnacentral:rRNA from 1 species